UCUCUCUCUCUCUCUCUCCUUACCCUCCAGAUUACCAACCGGCGCACCACUACUCAAUCUCGCUGACUACCGUCGUCGCAGGUCUGCCGCCAUUGCACUACCUUAUCUCCUCCACUUUUUCUUCCCCUUCAUUCACCACACCACCAACUCACACCCCCUUCCCUCCUGUACCACUACUGCCUUGCCGUCGCCGGCACCUCUCCCUCACCGGCGAACAUUUUUUCCCCCCAACUGUCGAUCACUCCCUCCUUCAGCAGUUUUGUAAAUAUGAAGAUCAGUGUUGGCCGCUGCGGCAAACCAGUCCACUCCACCAUUGAUACUACAGCUACUACUCCUACCCGGGACAUCCCUACUGUUCAAUGGGCCCACUAGGACAUCGUUCGGAACAACACAUUUGAUUAGGCCUACUUUACGACUAAUGCCUCCACCAGUUAGGCGGCACCACCUUAACUACUCGUCAACUUUUAGGCUUGUGUAGGGUUGAUGUCCUUGAGUACGCACUACUUGUUUGGUUAUUCUAUCAGAAUUUGUUCACAAAUCCAAAUUUUUGUGGUUGUUUGAGGUUCAUUAUUGAUGGUUUCGCCAUCACCUUUGGCCCUAACUUAAUUAAUUCUACACUUGAAAUAGAUAUCAUAAUUCAUAAA